rnacentral:rRNA from 1 species
GACAGAGGUGCCAAGCGUUAGGCGGAAUCACUGGGCUUAAAGCGUGUGUAGGCGGAUUGGUAAGUACCUUGUGAAAUCCCAUGGCUCAACCAUGGAACUGCUUGGUAUACUGCCUGUCUUGAGCUACUUAGGGGCAACCGGAACAAAUGGUGGAGCGGUGAAAUGCGUUGAUAUCGGAAGGAACACCUGUGGCGAAAGCGGCUCACUGGACCACAACUGACGCUGAUGCACGAAAGCUAGGGGAGCAAACAGG